UACGGGGGGGGCAAGCGUUGUUCGGAAUUACUGGGCGUAAAGGGCUCGUAGGUGGCCAACUAAGUCAGACGUGAAAUCCCUCGGCUUAACCGGGGAACUGCGUCUGAUACUGGAUGGCUUGAGUUUGGGAGAGGGAUGCGGAAUUCCAGGUGUAGCGGUGAAAUGCGUAGAUAUCAGGAAGAACACCCGUGGCGAAGGCGGCUCUCUGGGACGGUACUGACGCUGAGACGCGAAAGCGUGGGGAGCGAACAGG
rnacentral:rRNA from 1 species